rnacentral:rRNA from 1 species
AUUGAACGCUGGCGGCAGGCCUAACACAUGCAAGUCGAACGGUAACAGGAAGCAGCUUGCUGCUUCGCUGACGAGUGGCGGACGGGUGAGUAAUGUCUGGGAAACUGCCUGAUGGAGGGGGAUAACUACUGGAAACGGUAGCUAAUACCGCAUAACGUCGCAAGACCAAAGAGGGGGACCUUAGGGCCUCUUGCCAUCGGAUGUGCCCAGAUGGGAUUAGCUAGUAGGUGGGGUAACGGCUCACCUAGGCGACGAUCCCUAGCUGGUCUGAGAGGAUGACAAGCACACUGGAACUGAGACACGGUCCAGACUCCUACGGGAGGCAGCAGUGGGGAAUAUUGCACAAUGGGCGCAAGCCUGAUGCAGCCAUGCCGCGUGUAUGAAGAAGGCCUUCGGGUUGUAAAGUACUUUCAGCGGGGAGGAAGGGAGUAAAGUUAAUACCUUUGCUCAUUGACGUUACCCGCAGAAGAAGCACCGGCUAACUCCGUG